rnacentral:rRNA from 1 species
AGCCACUGCUAUUGGGAUCCGACUAAGCCAUGCGAGUCGAGAGGGUUCGGCCCUCGGCAGACUGCUCAGUAACACGUGGAUAACCUACCCUCAGGCGGAGAAUAACCUCGGGAAACUGAGAAUAAUACUCCAUAGAUCUAGGAUGCUGGAAUGCACCUAGAUUGAAAGCUCUGGCGCCUAAGGAUGGGUCUGCGGACUAUCAGGUUGUAGUCAGGGUAAAGACCUGACUAGCCUACGACGGAUAUGGGUUGUGAGAGCAAUAGCCCAGAGACGAUAUCUGAGACACGAUAUCGGGCCCUACGGGGCGCAGCAGGCGCGAAAUCUUCACAAUGUGCGAAAGCACGAUGAGGGGAUCCCAAGUGCUGGCACGUAAGUGUCAGCUGUUUCUUUGUCUAAAAAACAAAGAGAGUAAGAGCUGGGUAAGACGGGUGCCAGCCGCCGCGGUAAUACCUGCAGCUCAAGUGGUGGCCGCUAUUAUUGGGCCUAAAACGUCCGUAGCCGGUUUAGUAAAUGCUUGGGUAAAUUGUGUAGCUUAACUAUACGAAUACCGGGUAGACUGCUAAACUUGGGACCGGGAGAGGCUAGAGGUACUCCUAGGGUAGAGGUGAAAUUCUGUAAUCCUAGGGGGACCACCAGUGGCGAAGGCGUCUAGCUAGAACGGGUCUGACGGUGAGGGACGAAGCCCUGGGGCGCGAACCGGAUUAGAUACCCGGGUAGUCCAGGGUGUAAACGCUGCUUGCUUGAUGUUAGUUGGGCUCCGAGCCCAACUAGUGUCGGAGAGAAGUUGUUAAGCAAGCUGCCUGGGAAGUACGGUCGCAAGACUGAAACUUAAGGAAUUGGCGGGGGAGCACAGCAACGGGUGGAGCGUGCGGUU